rnacentral:rRNA from 1 species
UGCAGCGACGCCGCGGUGGGGGAUGAAGGCCGUUCGGGUUACGUAAACCCCUUUCAGCGAGGGAAGAGCGAGAGUGACGGUACCUGCAGAAGAAGCGCCGGCUAACUACGUGCCAGCAGCCGCGGUAAUACGUAGGGCGCAAGCGUUGUCCGGAAUUAUUGGGCGUAAAGAGCUCGUAGGCGGUUUGUCGCGUCUGCUGUGAAAGCCCGAGGCUCAACCUCGGGUCUGCAGUGGGUACGGGCAGACUAGAGUGUGGUAGGGGAGACUGGAAUUCCUGGUGUAGCGGUGGAAUGCGCAGAUAUCAGGAGGAACACCGAUGGCGAAGGCAGGUCUCUGGGCCACAACUGACGCUGAGGAGCGAAAGCGUGGGGAGCGAACAGGAUUAGAUACCCUGGUAGUCCACGCCGUAAACGGUGGGCACUAGAUGUGGGGCUCUUUCCAUGAGUUCCGCGUCGCAGCUAACGCAUUAAGUGCCCCGCCUGGGGAGUACGGCCGCAAGGCUA